UAAAAAAAAAAAAAAAAUCAAGCAUGUAGGUGGGCAAAGUGAACUCUUUACAUAACAUGCAACACAUGCCACACAAAGGGAAGAUAUCUAAGGGACCAUGCUUAGUGUGUUCUUUUGUUAGCAUCUUUUCUCACUGGCAGAGAAACAGCAGCUUCUACAGAAAAUAAGUCACAGUCCUUAUUUCAUACAGUGGUGCUAUUUUUAUCUCCCAGCUCCCCUGUGGAUAUUUAUUAUAAGAUAUAUUAUUUACAACAAUGGCUUUAUAUGCAUAUUUUAGUUCAUUUUGUUGCAUUCCUCCUUUAUCAUUUGUAUUCCAUGCCUUUACCUACUACAAUGACCCUUCAUAAGAUAUAUAGUAAUUGAUUGCUGUCAGGAAUACAAAUAAAACUGAGAAAGAGAGAGAGGGAGGGAGAUUACAAAAGUCAGAGCUGAAAUGUCCUUUACUUACUUGCCUUGCCUUGUCUCAUUUUCUUCCUCUUUGGUCUAAAAACUGUGCUUUCUUCCAUUAAGCUAAGUAAAAACUUUCUGAGAAGAGCAAUUGAAGCUGAAGGAAGCUCACUCUUCAGUUGCUAUACUAGGAAGUGGAAAUGAAGUUGCUCGGUUCUGCUCUCAACUUUAUUUACUCUAAAAGGCAUUUCUAUAAAAAGCUGCAAAACCAAGGGGUCUGAGAUCUGACACCUGAAAUGGCUGCAAUCACACAAAGGCACCCCUUUUCACGUCCCUUGUUGAUUGACCCAUCCCAUCCUGCCUUUCAACACACAGCCCAUAACUCUAUAUUUAGGGCAGUGGCCGGCCAUAUGCUGUAUACAUGUUCCAGACACGUCUCACUCCUCUCUUGGAUGGCUUCCCCUGUGAAUUUGGUGUUAAACUCAGGACUGUGUUCCCAGCUCAGCUCAGCUGCUUACUGUGUGACAUUACACACUUUUCUGGAGCUUUCCUGGGUUUCAUGCUCUAUAAAAUAAUAAACAAUAGUGACAGCUCA